ACUUACAUCUACUCAACAGAGCGGGGAGGAGAAGGAGAUAAACCUAUAUCAACACUGUAUUUCUAUUCCUCUCUCUCCUUGUGAAAACAAAAGAGGAACAAGGCAAAGCCUCAUCCAAUAUUCAUUGGGAAUCAUCUCGACAUGAUCCCGGGAAAACAGGUCCUUUUCAAGUCCAUGGUUCAGAUGCAGCCUUUCCUGUGACUGGGAGUGGGGACAACAGGCUGCUCACAGGGCUCCGUGGCUGGCACAGGAACUUCGGGUAUUUAUGGAAGUUCUUUGUAAGAAUGCCAGCGGAU
rnacentral:lncRNA from 1 species